ensembl:lncRNA
CUGCUUUCAUACCAUUUAGUCGGUUUUUUUUUUUUUUUUUUUUUUUAGGCUGAUAGCUUCUUAUCACUUGCUAACUGACUGUGCCUGCCUAGUGGGUCGAGUUUCUGUUCAAAUUGAGCCUGCAGAGAGAAAACAAUCAAAGAGGAGAGAGAAAACUAAAGGAGACGCUGGAGGCAGAGAGUCUCAGGCCUUCAGCAGCCCUAUGAUGACCUUGAGAGAACAGAGGCAGAUGCAAGGUCUGAUACUGAUAAUCACGAUGUGAGAAAUAGGGAUCAGGAAAAUGGGAAUGUGGAUAACUGGUUUCCAGAGUAAUGACCAUCUUCUGCUGCUGCUGCUGCUAAGUCGCUUCAGUUGCAUCCGACUCUGUGUGACCUCAGAGACGGCAGCCCACCAGGCUCCCCCAUCCCUGGGAUUCUCCAGGCAAGAACACUGCAGUGGGUUGCUAUUUCCUUCUCCAAUGCAUGAAACUGAAAAGUGAAAGUGAAGUUGCUCAGUCAUGUCCAACCCCUAGCGACCCCAUGGACUGCAGCCUACCAGGCUCCUCUGUCCAUGGGAUUUUCCAGGAAAGAGAAUACUCUGGUCUGACUUACUCAACAUAGAUCACCCUAAUUGGUGCCUGGCAUGGAGUAUAAAGGACAGGAGAAACAGAAGAUUAAUGUAGUGACCCAAUAUACAGUGAUGGGGUUCUGAAGAAGAUGUUCACGCAGUUACACCGCAGGCUCCUUUUGAGAUGUGCCAGUAGAAAAUUUGAAAACUUCAAUGAUUAGUUUGUAAACAAAUUGCAAGUCAUUUGUGGAUUUGGUCACUUAGGAACUGCAUUGAAAUAAUGAUUUAUAUCAGCUGUGAUAAGGGCAUUGAUGCUAAGUAG